rnacentral:lncRNA from 1 species
ACAGAAUUGGUAGAACUUUUGCUGCACCUUUGUGAACAUUCGAUUCAUCCUCUGGUUUCUUUUUCCCAAUAGGUCUUCAGGUUACUAAAUGAUGUGCACAGAGAAAGGACAGUACAUUUGGCAAACAGUUCAGUUAACAAGCACUAACCAUGCGUAUCAGAGAUCAUAAAUGUAACAUUGAUUCUUUUUUGUAGACAUACAGGAACACCUUUACCAGCUGCGGGAGGCUUACGACGACUUGGCUUACUACUGCAAGCUGACCAUGAGAAGUGACAAUGACCGCGUUGUCUACAAGGUGUACGACGUAGACUCGCGAUGCGGAAACGCAGCCGCACUGCUAAGCAAUGUCGACCGGAAGAUCCGGCGGAGAAUGACCUUCUCUAGAGACGUCCGUGAGCCGACAAGCACUUGCACGAAGCAGACGAUGUGCGCGGUGUAGUUGGUAACGUGGCUGGUCUUUUGUGCGAUGUCCUUGUCACGAGAAAUAAAGGAUCUCUCCUGGUUG